CACGUAGGGUGCGAGCGUUGUCCGGAAUUAUUGGGCGUAAAGAGCUCGUAGGCGGUGUGUCGCGUCGGCCGUGAAAACCUGCAGCUUAACUGUGGGCUUGCGGUCGAUACGGGCAUCACUGGAGUUCGGCAGGGGAGACUGGAAUUCCUGGUGUAGCGGUGAAAUGCGCAGAUAUCAGGAGGAACACCAACGGCGAAGGCAGUUCGCUGGGACGGUACUGACGCUAAGGCGCGAAAGCGUGGGGAGCGAACAGG
rnacentral:rRNA from 1 species